ACCGCCUGGACAGCCUGCGCGGAGGUCUUUCUUUUAGUCCUCUGGGAAUAAUGUGAUGCUAGACAUGCUGGACUGAGAAAGGAAAAAAAAAAAAAGCAAAACACAAAAGCAAAAAAAAAAAAAACCACCCAUUUGGGUCAAUGAAGGAGCGUCAGGCCGCAGCGACGGGGGAGGGGAGCGACUUAAGCAAAGUCCGCUGCCCCAAAAAUGCACGUUGGUCUGUGGGAGGUGCAGGUGAGAAGCCAGAACCCAGUCGGAGAAGGGACCCCUUGCGCGUGUCACCCAAGGUUUGGCAAGCCUUGACUACGGUUACUUCUGAGUCACUCUGGUGUCCGUGUCUCAACAGCCAUCAGAACCUGGGACGGCUGCUCCGAGGCAGGAGUUUCCUAUACAACCUGUGCAGACACAUCCCACGUGGCCCCGGUCUUGCUGAGCAACUGUCGGGUCUCCUGGUGGCCCGAGGGGAAGCAGGACCAAGCUUUCGGAGCCAACCACACAACCCAUCCAGCUCCACACUGUGCCGUCACCUUGGAGCCUGAAACGAGCCAUGGUGGGAAUGACGGACGCCAUGAAAACUGGCCAACACUACAAAGCGGGACUGUUUUCCUCAGGGAGAGCCGGUGGCUAAACAUUUGCCAGCACAUCGCUGCCUAAGCUCCAGCUGGGGAAGAGGCAGCCUUCUGCGAUGCGGGAAGUCACAGUGAGUCCCGAGUGGUGAGCAGGGCAGAAGGCCCUUCUGCCAAGUUCCCUGUGGGCUGGAAAUGGAAAAAACCACCACCCGUGGAGUCUAGCUCAUCCUUCCUUCUCAUCUCGAGGCCAAAGGCGCUCAGCAUCACCUGCCUUCAGGGGACUUCCCAGUCCCUGUGGAGUGGGAAGCCGCUCUGGACAUGAGCAGAGGUGAGACUCAGAGGCUCUCCCUUGAGAAGAAAACACUUCUGCUAAGCAAACAGUCUGUGUGUCCAGAAACAAGCUGUCGCAGGGGACAGAGGAGCUAUGUUUUCAAAAGCGCAAAAUCUCAACUAGCAACAAAACCCAAACAAUGUAGAAAUAUCUUCGUAAUAGUGACAAGGGGAAAAAAAAAAAAAAAAAAAAAAAACUAAGCUAACAUCAGUGCUCUCUGUUCUACUAGGUGAAGCUCACGGACAGUCAGGAUUGAUCUUUCUUAGGCUGCGUUAGGGCUCUCACAGCACAAAGACGAAAACGCGGCAUACAGAAAUCAAGCUCCAUACAGGAGAAUCCCUGUUUAUAUGUGACUGUCCUCAGAAGAACAUUUCUGCAACUCAGUUAAGCGGGACCUCUUCACCACGGUUUCAAUACUAAGCGUGCAUACAGCUAACCAAACUCCUCCCUCUGGUCCGAGCAAACCCAGGCCUCCUCGGGCUCCAGGUGCGAGCUUUCGGGCCCGGCUCGUCACAGGCACACGGCACCGUUACCUGUGUCUUUGAAGAUCUUCUCGUCCGGAGGCACCACCGAGCACAGGCUAUUGAGGACCAACGUGCCCAAUUUCAGAGCAUUCUUCUCUGAGCUCUUGUAGUAAUCCAAGGAAUUGUGGGUAAGCACAAACCACCGUUUUUUUAGUUUUAAUGAAGACAUCUUUGGACUGUUCUUUACUUCUUUGUGCAGCCACCCUGGAAAGGAAGAUCGGAGUGUAAAUUAAAAACUAGGAAGACAAACACCAAACAUCAGGUAAUAAUUUGCAGGAUGCUUCCUAAUGGGUCAUAUUUCUAUAUAUUUGCUAGAAAGGGCCAUGACCCUUUCUUGUGUUUUUGCUGUCUGUCUGCUUGUUGGUUUGUUAAGCAAGCUCAAGAGUCAAAAUUACUCAGGAAAGCUGCUCAAAGGGGCAAGGCCGUGGUGGCAGUCACCUCUCACGAUGAAUUCCUGGCCCUCCACUCUUGUGUCCCCCUUGGACCUCUGCAGCAGCGUUAUCCAAUGAUGCAUCUCCUCCGGUGUAUCAGCGUUGCAGUGCAGCACCCGGUUGGCCGUGAUGAUCACAAACGAAUUGGGUCUGGGCGACAGGGCAAGAAGGAAGCCAAGACUUAGCUCUCUACUGUCCGCAUCACCUGCUCGAACCAAGACCAGCCGCCUCUUUCCUGGCUUACGGUCAGCGGGACGAAAAGCGCGGUGCUAUUUGUGGUUUGUGCUAAGGCAAAUCUUGCUCAUUUCUGCAGGAUUUAUUUUAUGCAUCAUUAACCUUUAAACUUGGAGCAACACAUUCAGGAGGCCCUGGAAGGGGAAAGAUUCCUUCAUGCAAAACUUUCCAAAUGAAACUUGGUUCCGGGAAGGCUAAAAUAAGGUGACGGUGGGGGAAAUUUUUUUUUUUCUGAUGCCUCUCCAAAGUAAAUUUCUCUCUGCCUCUGGGUACUGCCUUGGAUAAUAUUUCUGUGGGUCGGUAAUGAUACGUCAGACACCAGUAAUAAAAGCAGAUCAGUAAAUAGGUGUAAAUGGAACAUCUUAUACACUUGAUUAUGCUUGCUACAAAAAGCCACCUGGGUCCAUGUUUUCAAAGCAAUCUAACAAAGGCUUAUUUCCCAGUCAGGGAUAACAUAAUAAUGGAAAUUUACUUUCUCCUUCACCUCUUUUUGUCUGGCAAUGCCCUGAGUCUCUCCUAGGCCCUAGCUCAUACUCAUGCCUAUAUUGAACCACUUAAGCUGGUGGCUGUGAAUUUCUUGCAGGCUUUCAAAUGCUCGCGGCAAUUAAGCGCUGCAAAAGUUCAAGAAAAAGCAAGAUUAAUGGGACUGUAGUAGACAGGGAAAGACAGGUGCUCUUUAAAAGACACUUCUCUUGUUGGGAAGGAGGUGGGCACUUGAGGAAGAGAGAAGGAUGUGAGUAGGAAUGGAAAGUUCUAAGCAUGGACCCUCACAUGCCCAGCCUGCUGGAGCGAAAGGGUUUAGGAGACAGAUGUCGAUAGGGUAGGAACUUGGCCGUCAGAAUAAAAUCUGGGCUGAAUAUGGACAAAACACACGUGUUAAUUAAAGGUUCUGAAGACUCUAGAUAAUUCUACCUAGUAGGCACUAUUUUUGUUGUCAGUUGGAAUACGUUUCUAUCCACUUUCUAAAGCUACCUUACUGAAGGCAGAAGCCAAUUUUGAUUCCUAAUGCAGAAUUCAAAGAGCAGCAAAGAAACACAGAGAAGACAAAGGUCAACGGUACAGACUCCUGAGGGCACCCAUGAAGAUGGUUUGCCUUCAAAAAAACAAAACCAACACAUGCUAUUUUAAGGGCACAAAUAAGGUUGAGAUGUCAAGGGAAGAAUGUGGUUUAAUUUAUUAACACUCCACAUACACGUUACAACAAGAUCCUUUUUAAAUUCCUUAUUAAGUUUAGGAAGGGGAACAGCACCCUUCCCUGUGCUGGAAUACUAUUUUCCGAAAUAGGCAUUUUCUUCCUCUUUGCAUCCUGGGUUUACCCCUGUACCCAAAGGAAGACUGUGCCUCUUGUGUGUAUGUUUUUAACUGACUGUCUAAAUUAGGUUUCCACGGUCUCUCCCAGCAGCCCAAAGAUACCCAGAGAGGACGACUUCUGGGUGAUAUAAAACCGGGCACAAAGAAAGAAGACUGGAAUUGCCCAGGUGACCACAGGCAGCCUGAGAUCAUUUCACAGCUCAGAAAGGAAGGGACCUAGAAGCAGAGAGAGCUGUGGGAGCACACAGGUUACUCAUCCCUUUCGCCAAGAGUCACAUCUGAACUUACCUCUCGGGGCUGUCGGAGGCGCACACGGAGUCUAUCAUCCCCACGUCCAAAGUGCCCUGGAAAGGAGCAAAAGCAGAGGGAACAGAACCAUUGAAAUACAGCACACAUCAUCAUAAUAUCCUUAGAUCAUGAAGCUCGAAGUAGGCAAACAGACAAAAAAAAAAGCUCCCUCCUUUUGUGUUAAAUGCAAAAUAAUCGUUAUCUAAGAAAGAUCCCACCUUCAGUUGGUGAGUACAGCCUCUAGACAGGGGAGACAGUUCACUCAUGAAAAAAAAUAUACGUAAGCGCCCCGCCCCGUCUUGUUUUUAAAAUACGUUCAGGGAAAAGUGUUUACAAACUUCUUUCAAUAGUACAAAUUUUUCUGAUUUACACUAUGAUCUAUCGCUAAAUUUUACACGUACUCUAACAAACUUUUUUAAUUUUUUUAAAUGUUUAUUUAUUUUUGACAGAGAGAGAGAGAGAGAGAGAGAGAGAGAGAGAGAGAGAGAGAGAGAGAGAGGCAGAGACAGAGCAUAAGUGGGGGAGGGGCAGAGAGAGAGGGAGACACAGAAUCCGAAGCAGAGCCUGGCGGGACUUGAACUCACAGACUAAGAGAUCAUGACCUGAGCCGAAGUUGGAUGCUCAACCGACUGAGCCAGCCGGGUGCCCCAGAAACUUUUUUUAAAUAGAACCUUCUUUCCCCCUUUAAAAAAAAUGUUUAUUUUGAGCACUGGGUGUUGUAUGGAAACCAAU